rnacentral:pre_miRNA from 1 species
UCUGUUAGUUGUUGUUGACGAGUUUGUGUCUAGUACAUAUAGUGGUAUAUUAUGACUAGAUCCAAACUCGUUUACAAUUUCUAGUC